rnacentral:rRNA from 1 species
GAUGAACGCUGGCGGCGUGCCUAACACAUGCAAGUCGAGCGAUUUACUUCGGUAAAGAGCGGCGGACGGGUGAGUAACGCGUGGGUAACCUGCCCUGUACACACGGAUAACAUACCGAAAGGUAUGCUAAUACGAGAUAAUAUACUUUUAUCGCAUGGUAGAAGUAUCAAAGCUUUUGCGGUACAGGAUGGACCCGCGUCUGAUUAGCUAGUUGGUAAGGUAACGGCUUACCAAGGCGACGAUCAGUAGCCGACCUGAGAGGGUGAUCGGCCACAUUGGAACUGAGACACGGUCCAAACUCCUACGGGAGGCAGCAGUGGGGAAUAUUGCACAAUGGGCGAAAGCCUGAUGCAGCAACGCCGCGUGAGCGAUGAAGGCCUUCGGGUCGUAAAGCUCUGUCCUCAAGGAAGAUAAUGACGGUACUUGAGGAGGAAGCCCCGGCUAACUACGUGCCAGCCGCCGCGGUAAGAC